UAGAUACUAGAGUAGAGGGCAAGCUCGGACGAAAAAGAAAGAACGAAAAGAGAAAAAUUAGAGGGAAAGCUUGGAACUUGAUCGGAGAGAGAGAAAGAGAGAGAAAGGGACCUGAACUGGAAUUGUAAUAGAUUAUAGAUGAAUUGGACAAGGUUUUCCACCAAGGUUUACAAAGCUACUGCAGCAGAUUCCAAAUGCGGUUCGUCAUUCUGUUAUACUCGAAAACCCCAUCAGAAAGCUAUUCACGACACUCAAAGAGGAAGUCUACCGGCAACUUCAUGGCCUCAGGAUGGAGUUGGUGCUGCUACUACUGCGGCUACAGAUUUUCGAGAUUUUGAACAGAGGUUCAUUGUUGCAAGAAAUGUCAUUUGGAGGUUUAAAGGAAAUUCCAUGUGGUCUAAACAGAGCCCGGUAUCUUUGUCUCGUCAAUUUGGACACAAGGCUGGUACUGGUCGUGAUCCUGACUUGACUAGGGACUUCCUUGUACAGCUCUGGGUUGCAGAUAGGAAAACGGAACACUCCAAAAGAAAGAGAAGAGGGAAAGCUGUUAAGUAUAGAAAAGAAACACCAUACCACUAUUCAUCCUAUGGAUGGUAUCCGGAUGCAUUUUUCAAUGCAGCAGACCCUUCUGGCCAACCACCUCUAAGCCAAUCCAUCUCGGGAUUUCUGAAACCAGAAUCUCCAGAAGAGGUCCAGGUGAUGCCUCUUCUUGCUAGAUCAAAUAUGCUGAUUACGAGGGAUAUAGAGUGGGCAAAUCUUGUACUUGGCUUUGAGCAGGAAAACCGGUAUGGAAUAGUAGAUGUGUGCUACCCAGAGUCGCCUGUGGGUUUGAUUCGUGAGCAGAGCCAUGUUAUUACUAGACAGUUGCUUCGCCUGAGGCGCCCUUUUGUUGCUUAUAUAACUGAUGCCAUGGGUAAUGAGCUCUUUAGGGUUCGCAGGCCUUUUUGGUGGAUAACCAGCUCAAUUUAUGCAGAGAUCAAUGGCAAGGAAGUUGGUGUGGUUCACAGACGAUGGCAUCUUUGGAAGAGGGUGUAUGAUUUGUACCUGGGGGAUAAGCAGUUUGCAGUUGUUGAAAACCCUGGCUUCUGGAAUUGGACUUUUACUUUGAAGGACAUUGAUGGUGAAGUUUUGGCUCAGAUAGAUCGUGACUGGAGGGGUUUUGGCUUUGAGAUUUUUACUGAUGCGGGGCAAUAUGUGAUCCGUUUCGGGAGUUCUGAUCCCAGCUCCAAGACCGGUGCUGCUAGCUUGAUUGAAGAGUUGGAAGUCAGACGUCCACUGACUCUGUUGGAGAGAGCUGUAACUGUUGCUCUGGCUAUAUCGUUGGACAAUGACUAUUUCUCAAGACAUGGUGGAUGGUAAGCCAAUGACUAUUUCUUAAGACACCACGGCUUAGAAUGUUCAGUGGAAGUUCUGACUUUGGGGAUUACCUUUUGUUGAAGUAGGAGAGUAGGUCUGGCUGGCUGUGCAGAUGAAAAUCGAUGUGGUUACGUGGUCAUUCUUAAUACACGAGGGCUCAAGACAGGGCCCGGCCGCUUGUUAGAUGUGAUUCUAGCGGGGAUGCUAACGUUCUUGUUUCUUGGUGAAGACAUUAUUGUACCAUCGAGUCAUUGAAUAGCUUACUUUUUAUGAUCGAUUAGGAUGACUUGCAAAGACCAUAUCUUGGUAUUCUCUGCAGCACAAGAGACAUGCGCAAAACCUGAAAGAAGAGAACUUUGGUUAACUCUAAAUUGGAAUUUGGGUUUUGAUAGAUAAGUUGGAUCAUCCUAUAUCAAUGAACUAAAACAGAAGUUUUGAACA